UACGAGGGGGGCGAGCGUUGUUCGGAUUUACUGGGCGUAAAGGGCGCGUAGGCGGCGGGUCAAGUCGAGUGUGAAAGCCCCGGGCUCAACCUGGGAAUUGCGCUCGAGACUGGUCUGCUUGAGUUCGGGAGAGGAGCGUGGAAUUCCCAGUGUAGAGGUGAAAUUCGUAGAUAUUGGGAAGAACACCGGUGGCGAAGGCGGCGCUCUGGACCGAGACUGACGCUGAGGCGCGAAAGCGUGGGGAGCAAACAGG
rnacentral:rRNA from 1 species